CCCUUAGAUGUUCUGGGCCGCACGCGCGCUACACUGAUGCAUUCAACAAGCCUAGCCUUGACCGAGAGGUCCGGGUAAUCUUUGAAACUGCAUCGUGAUGGGGCUAGAUUAUUGCAAUUAUUAAUCUUCAACGAGGAAUUCCUAGUAAGCGCGAGUCAUCAGCUCGCGUUGAUUACGUCCCUGCCCUUUGUACACACCGCCCGUCGCUCCUACCGAUUGAAUGGUCCGGUGAAAUGUUCGGACCGCGACAAGGCGGACGGUUCGCUGUCAGCUUUGCUGCGGGAAGUUCAUUAAACCUUAUCAUUUAGAGGAAGGAGAAGUCGUAACA
rnacentral:rRNA from 1 species